UGUGUGCCAAAAAUAAUUCCGGUUGGUGAGGAUGCUAGUCUCUCUUUCUCUCUAUCGCUUCUUUUCUUUCAUUUUCGGACUCCAACCUGAGCCGGACGGCGAGCACCUUAAUUGAUGCUCCACCCGGCUCGUUUCGCCUCUUGAAUGUUUGUUUUUCCGCGCGCGGCGUCUCUUCUGUACUCCGUGUGCUCCCGUUUUGUGCGCUCACCCGAUGACGGCGGACGACGGUCCAUCAUCCAUCGCGGGUUGGAUCACGGUAUCUUUGUGGCAAGCAAAAAUAUCGUCUCUUUCUCUUUACCGCGCUC
ensembl:ncRNA C33B4.8 ncRNA